rnacentral:rRNA from 1 species
GUUGUAGUCUGGAGAAGUGCUUUCCGCGCUGGACCGUGUACAAGUCCCUUGGAACAGGGCGUCAUAGAGGGUGAGAAUCCCGUCUUUGACACGGACUACCAGUGCUUUGUGAUGCGCUCUCAAAGAGUCGAGUUGUUUGGGAAUGCAGCUCAAAAUGGGUGGUAAAUUCCAUCUAAAGCUAAAUACAGGCGAGAGACCGAUAGCGAACAAGUACCGUGAGGGAAAGAUGAAAAGCACUUUGGAAAGAGAGUUAAACAGUACGUGAAAUUGCUGAAAGGGAAACGAUUGAAGUCAGUCGCGUUGUCUGGAAGUCAGCCUUGCAAUUUUGUUUGGUGUAUUUUUCAGAUUGACGGGCCAGCAUCGAUUUUGACCGUUGGAUAAAGAUGAGGGGAAUGUGGCACCUUCGGGUGUGUUAUAGCCCCUUGUCACAUACAACGGUUGGGAUCGAGGAACUCAGCACGCCUUUAUUGGUCGGGGUUCGCCCACGUUCGUGCUUAGGAUGCUGGCAUAAUGGCUUUAAACGACCCGUCUUGAAACACGGACCAAGGAGUCUAACAUACCUGCGAGUGUUUGGGUGGUAAACCCGAGCGCGUAAUUAAAGUAAAAGUUGAGAUCCCCGUUACAAGGGAGCAUCGACGCCCGGACUUGACCUUCUGUGAUAGCUCUGCGGUAGAGCAUGUAUGUUGGGACCCGAAAGAUGGUGAACUAUGCCUGAAUAGGGUGAAGCCAGAGGAAACUCUGGUG